rnacentral:rRNA from 1 species
UACAGAGGGGGCAAGCGUUAUUCGGAAUUAUUGGGCGUAAAGCGCGCGCAGGCGGCGGUGCUGGCCCGGCGUGAAAGCCCCCGGCUCAACCGGGGAGGGUCGUCGGGGACCGCACCGCUUGAGGGCGGUAGGGGCUGGUGGAAUGCCUGGUGUAGUGGUGAAAUGCGUAGAGAUCAGGCGGAACACCCGUGGCGAAGGCGGCCAGCUGGGCCGUCCCUGACGCUGAGGCGCGAAGGCGUGGGGAGCGAACGGG